AGGGAAGUGGCGCAAUUGGUAGCGCAACGGUCUCCAAAACCGUAGGUUGUGGGUUCGAGUCCCGCCUUCCCUGCUA
rnacentral:tRNA from 13 species